rnacentral:rRNA from 1 species
AUUGAACGCUAGCGGCAUGCCUUACACAUGCAAGUCGAACGAGUGGCGGACGGGUGAGUAAUAUCUCGGAACGUGCCCAGUAGCGGGGGAUAACUACUCGAAAGAGUGGCUAAUACCGCAUACUAUUGGAGCGGCCCAGAUCGGAUUAGCUAGUUGGUGGGGUAAAGGCUCACCAAGGCAACGAUCCGUAGCUGGUUUGAGAGGAUGACCAGCCACACUGGAACUGAGACACGGCCCAGACUCCUACGGGAGGCAGCAGUGGGGAAUAUUGGACAAUGGGGGAAACCCUGAUCCAGCCAUCCCGCGUGUAUGAGAAGGCCUUCGGGUUGUAAAGUACUUUUAGCAGAGAAGCGGUAUCUGCAGAAUAAGCACCGGCUAACUACGUGCCAGCAGCCGCGGUAAUUC